CAUUUCAUUUAUUUCUCGCUCUGUAUUUCGCCCUGAAAGGGCACAAAAAUGGUUCUGGAAACAUUUGAUAAAUUAAGUCAUGCUUGUGGUCCCGUCAUAUGAAGUUUGAAGCCUUGACGAUAAAAAAAUGCCAGGUCCUGCUGUGUUGUCAGAAUAUAGUAUGACAAUUCUUGCUGCUUCAUGCCAUUGGUUUACUAAAAUUAGGUUCAGCUAAACUCGCUUAUGCUUUUAUGGGAGACUUAUUCUCUUGAUGGCAUCUGUGCAAGGAUUCACUCACAGGAAGAGAAGAAACGAAGAAGCAAAAAAAA
rnacentral:lncRNA from 1 species